UGGGAGUAGCCAUAUAGCC
rnacentral:siRNA from 1 species